UACGAAGGGGGCUAGCGUUGUUCGGAAUCACUGGGCGUAAAGGGCGCGUAGGCGGCCGAUCAAGUCGGGGGUGAAAGCCUGUGGCUCAACCACAGAAUUGCCUUCGAUACUGUUUGGCUUGAGACCGGAAGAGGUUAGUGGAACUGCGAGUGUAGAGGUGAAAUUCGUAGAUAUUCGCAAGAACACCAGUGGCGAAGGCGGCUGACUGGUCCGGUUCUGACGCUGAGGUGCGAAAGCGUGGGGAGCAAACAGG
rnacentral:rRNA from 1 species